AAAGGCAGAGUUGAACAAGGGCAAGGCAGGUUGCAGAAAUUAGAGUUUAAUGGGCUGAAACAUAAGAGUGUGGGAGCAGUAUGUGAGUGGGGAGACGGGAGCGCCCAUAAUGCUGCUGAAGAGGUGGCCUGGCACCACGUGGUAUUUAACGGACUGCCUGCAUUAUGCCAGGUACCACAGAAGGAGCAGUAAGAGUAAGAUCUCAACCAUUAGGGAGCAGAUACCAGCUUCCCUGCUGACUCAGACGACUCCGCCCAUGGGCCUCAAAUGGCGGAAGAACUGCACGCUACGUCGUGACUUCUCACACUACUGCGGAGGUAUCCCGACGCUACGCCGCCGGCGUAGGCGGGGCGGCCGGCUCUUCCUUCCUCUCUGCUUCUUCGGCUCCACCCCCAGCGUUUCACACGCUCAUUGUGAAGCGACAGCGGCAGGCAGUCUUCAAGGCUGCCUGAGACCUAGAGACCCUAAGUCCUUGGCGCACGCAAGCGCCCCGCGCUGCUCUUUCCCCACUCCAAAGGCGAGGGGCGCGAGAUUCACCUUUCUUUAUUCUUUCUUCUCCCGCCCGCAGCUAACCGCCCCGGUGCGCGCGGACAUCUCGGGCCGCGGCUCCCUCCUCCCCGCCCCUCCCC
ensembl:lncRNA